UUGGAGAUUAUAUCUAGCUAAGGAGGAGGGGAGCUUUCACGGUUUCUUGGAGCUUCAAGAGGGCCGGAAAUUCUGACCUUGCAAACCAAAGGAGUAGUGGUGAAAGCAUUAAUGUCACAUUAUGGGGAACAACAUCGAAUCAGUUCGAUGAUGAGACUAUUUUGGUGUCUGAUCAACCAUUAGUGUUGGUGAUCUCUUCAGUGACAGUUAAACAAUUCAGAGGAAUUGGUUUACACUUCCAAAGUGACGAUUUUGAAAGUUGAUUUCAACAGUCAACUCAACUGUACUACAAAGCAUGUCCAAAAUGUCAGAGAAAAGUGACAUUAGAAGGAUCUAAUUUUGUGUGCAAUACUUGCAAUCAAAAUGUGGAGUAUCCCAAAUUAAGGUAUGUCGUAGGUAUUAAUUUUUUAUCAUUUUAAUUGCUACAAUAUCUACAUAAACAUAACUUUUAGAAUAUGUGUAUUUAUACAUGUAUAUGUUAAAAGUCUUGGCAAGUGAUGCAACCUGUAGUGCUUGGUUUGUUAUAUUUGA